UCUGUUUUUUUUUUUUUUUUUUUUUUUUUUUUUUUUUUUUUUUUUUUUUUUUUUUUUUUUUUUUUUUUUUUUUUUCUUCUUUAAUUGUUGGAAUAUUCAGAUCUUUGUGGAUGUUUGCAUUAGAUACGUAAAACGGAGCAUUGACAAUGUGUCGCAAAGUUUUUUAUUGGUAACGCUGAAGUAUCUCAAUAUUUGAGUUGCUAGCAGUUCCCCAAAGCUGUAUAGCGUAGGUCCAAACUGGCUUCAGUAUGGAUUUG
rnacentral:lncRNA from 1 species